rnacentral:rRNA from 1 species
UACGGGGGGGCAAGCGUUGUUCGGAAUUACUGGGCGUAAAGGGCUCGUAGGUGGCCAACUAAGUCAGACGUGAAAUCCCUCGGCUUAACCGGGAACUGCGUCUGAUACUGGAUGGCUUGAGUUCGGGAGAGGGAUGCGGAAUUCCAGGUGUAGCGGUGAAAUGCGUAGAUAUCCGGAGGAACACCGGUGGCGAAGGCGGCUUCCUGGACCGACACUGACGCUGAGGCGCGAAAGCUAGGGAGCAAACGGG